rnacentral:rRNA from 1 species
AACGCGAAGAACCUUACCUGGGUUUGACAUCCUCUGACAUCCGUAGAGAUACGGCCUUCGUAGCAAUACGACAGAGUGACAGGUGCUGCAUGGCUGUCGUCAGCUCGUGUGGUGACAUGUUGGGUUAAGUCCCGCAACGAGCGCAACCCUUGUCCUUAGUUGCCAGCAUUCAGUUGGGCUCUCUAAGGAGACUGCCGUGGUUAACACGGAGGAAGGUGGGGAUGACGUCAAGUCCUCAUGGCCUUUAUAUCCAGGGCGACACACGUGAUACAAUGGACGGUACAGAGGGAAGCGAAACCGCGAGGUGGAGCCAAUCUCAAAAAGCCGUUCUCAGUUCGGAUUGGAGUCUGCAAUUCGACUCCAUGAAGUUGGAAUCGCUAGUAAUCGCGGAUCAGCACGCCGCGGUGAAUACGUUCCCGGGCCUUGUACACACCGCGAGC